rnacentral:tRNA from 1 species
UUGUAGCAAAGUGGCAUUGCGUCUGAUUCGUAAUCAGAAGAUCGGGAGUUCAAUUCUCCCCA